UGUCAGUAAACGCACCACAGUGCGGGCCGUUUUUUCGGUUGAACAAUUCAUAAAUCUCUGAGCCUUAUUGCGCCUCAUACAUCAUAUCACCAGGUUGAUGCUGUGCGUGAAUGCAUAAAGUUGAGUCAACAAGAAGCGACUUGAUUAACCCUUUAAAAGAAGACCAUAGCGUGAUGUCACCAUGAUGUCCGCCAGCCAGUGCUCCCAUUGCAGUCGGUCUGCUGGUGCCAUGUGUUCUGCAGAGACCAGAAGGAGGAGGAUUGCAUCUUCACUGGCUUUUAGAAGGAAGAGACAGCCACUCAUCGGUGGAAACUCGGAAUGGCCGUUUGUACCUUUGAUCUGGUCCUUUUGGUCCCAAAGCUCAUGACCACAGGUGAGGGUACACCCUAUAGGACCAUACAGUAGAUGGACAGGUCAAGCUUGGAGAUUAAGCUUGUGGAGCUUUGCCCAUCACCGUCGAUGCUGGACCAAUCCACCUGUCAAUCUCACCUUCAACUCCUCCGCUGGGGGCAGGAUCCACCCUUUUCCGGCCCAGAACUUGGACAUGCACGGGAGGGGGGCUGAUUCUCACCCCAGCGGGCACCUCAUCAUCAGGCCCAGUCCUGCAGCCACCAAACCAGAUCCCCUCCCCGGAUUUUGUCUUUCAUAUUUCAACUCUGUGCUACUAAAGUGACAUCCUUCAUCAUCAUAUUAUUUACAGUUUAUUCUUGUAAAAUUGGAUCUUUUUCUGGUUAAAAUAUGACUUUUUUCUCUUAAAUAUUUGAACUUGAUAAAAUUGCUGAUGAUUUUUCAAAUUUCUUCUGCUUUUUUCUUCAAAUUGCCCAAAAAUGACAACUUUAUUUGUUGGGUUGUUCCUUUUUCAUUUAUGCAACUUUGAAAAUAAUAUAUAAUUUUUAAAAUAUUUUUCCCGUUAAUUUUUUAACUGUCUGCUACUAAAAUUACACUUUUAUUUCCUCAUAACAUUAUGUUUGUUUAAACAAUUUAAAUAUAAAAUAUUUGAGUAUUAGGUGUAGUAUAAUUGACAGUCUUCUGAUUGAUUGGGGUCAUAUUUAAAAGUCACCUGUUGAUUUGGCUUUGCAGUUUGAUUUUUUUUAACUUAACGUAUUUUUCCAAUGUGGACGGAAAUGAAUUAGAACCAAUGGAAUCAUUUAUUUCUUGAUUUUUGAGUGUUACACCGACAGAGAAAAGGAAAUGGGAGCAAAGCAUCCAUGCAUCCUCACUCUAGUCGAUGUCACAAUAAAUAGAUAUGAAAUAUACUGGACACGUUCCAACCACUUUGACUGUGACGGCGCAUAUGAAUAAGAA